GCCAGGGUGACCUAGUGGUUUGAGCGUUGGACUACGGCUCUGGAGACCUGGGUUCAGUUCUCUGCUUGGCCA